rnacentral:tRNA from 1 species
CGGGGUGUAGCGCAGUUGGUAGCGCGCUUGCUUUGGGAGCAAGAUGCCGCAGGUUCAAAUCCUGUCACUCCGACCA